rnacentral:rRNA from 1 species
UACGAAGGGGGCUAGCGUUGUUCGGAAUUACUGGGCGUAAAGCGUGCGCAGGCGGUUUUCCAAGUCAGUGGUGAAAGCCCGGAGCUCAACUCCGGAACUGCCAUUGAAACUGUGAAACUAGAGUACGAGAGAGGUGAGUGGAAUUCCCAGUGUAGAGGUGAAAUUCGUAGAUAUUGGGAAGAACACCGGUGGCGAAGGCGGCUCACUGGCUCGUUACUGACGCUCAGGCACGACAGCGUGGGGAUCAAACAGGGAU